AUAUUGGACAAUGGGCGAAAGCCUGAUCCAGCCAUGCCGCGUGUGUGAAGAAGGUCUUCGGGUUGUAAAGCGCUUUAAGUUUGGAGGAAGGGAAGUACGUUAAUACCUUGCUGUUUUUACGUUCCCGACAGAAUCAGCAACGGCGUACUUACUGCCAGCAGCCGGUGUAAUGCGAAGGGUGGAAGCGUUAAUCGUAAUUACUGGGCGUAAAGAGCGCGUAGGUGGUUUGUUAAAUUGGAAGUGAAAGCCCCGGGCUCAACCUGGGAACUGCUUUCAAAACUGGCAAGCUAGAGUAUAGCAGAGGGUGGUGGAAUUUCCUGUGUAGCGGUGAAAUGCGUAGAUAUAGGAAGGAACACCAGUGGCGAAGGCGACUACCUGGACUGAUACUGACACUGAGGUGCGAAAGCGUGGGGAGCAAAC
rnacentral:rRNA from 1 species